UACGAAGGGGGCUAGCGUUGCUCGGAAUCACUGGGCGUAAAGGGUGCGUAGGCGGGUUUUUAAGUCAGGGGUGAAAUCCUGGAGCUCAACUCCAGAACUGCCUUUGAUACUGAAGAUCUUGAGUCCGGGAGAGGUGAGUGGAACUGCGAGUGUAGAGGUGAAAUUCGUAGAUAUUCGCAAGAACACCAGUGGCGAAGGCGGCUCACUGGCCCGGUACUGACGCUGAGGAGCGAAAGCGUGGGUAGCAAACAGG
rnacentral:rRNA from 1 species